UCUCCGUAGGUGAACCUGCGGAGGGAUCAUUACACAAAUAUGAAGGCGGGCUGGAACCUCUCGGGGUUACAGCCUUGCUGAAUUAUUCACCCUUGUCUUUUGCGUACUUCUUGUUUCCUUGGUGGGUUCGCCCACCACUAGGACAAACAUAAACCUUUUGUAAUUGCAAUCAGCGUCAGUAACAAAUUAAUAAUUACAACUUUCAACAACGGAUCUCUUGGUUCUGGCAUCGUGAAGAACGCAGC
rnacentral:misc_RNA from 1 species